GGUCGGCAGUUCGGGAAUUGCGUUAAACCCUCCCGUUUAGAGGAAGGAGAAGUCGUAACAAGGUCUCCGUUAAAGAAUCAAGUAUGCUAUUCACCAGCGGAUCAAAGAGCGCGUUCAUAAUAGGUGCGCGGCUCUAGUGUACCUUCUAGACAGUACCCUGAUCUAGAAGGCCUGCGCGACACUGUCAAAGUGCCGGAACGUCUUGCUAAGUCAACAGUACCGCCGCACUUGCGAAAGCAAGUGUCGGGCCUUGCCAAAGGAUGGUAACAAUCUGUUGAAUAGAGACAAUCGGCAGCCAAGCCCUCAGGGACAAAGUCCUAUGGGUGCAGUUCACAGACUAGACGGCAGUGGGUCUGAGUAAUCGGGCUUAAGAUAUAGUCGGCCCCUACCAUGAGGUAGUCUCCGAGAGGAAGAGUCAGGGCUCUGAGAGCUCGGAGAAGUGGACAUCAAUAGAAUGGAGCGCGAGCUUCUAUUCGGCAGGGGUUGUAGUUGCUAUAGCUCGGGCCUGUCCAGCUGGAACCAGUGAGGUGAACCUGCGGAGGGAUCAUUGAAACCAUCAUGUCCACUCGUGAACCGCAACCCUGUACGUCUGGCGCAGCCACCACGCUGCGUCCUCUCAAGAGUGGGAACUCUUGCGAGGGGGGAUGGCGCCACCCUUUUGGGUGUCUGCCUCCCUUAGGCCUGAUCCAUUUUUCCCACCAGACCAAACCAUUUGACUGAAGCUUGAAGCGAGUGGGGUCUCCUCACCGCAUCUAAUUGAGACAACUCUCAACAACGGAUAUCUUGGCUCUCGCAACGAUGAAGAACGCAGCGAAAUGCGAUACGUAGUGUGAAUUGCAGAAUUCCGUGAAUCAUCGAAUCUUUGAACGCAUAUUGCGGUCGGGCCUCGGUCCGACCAUGUCUGCCUCAGCGUUGGAGUAAAACCUCACCCCACAGGGUACGUUGUAUCCUGCGGAGUGGAACUGACUUCCCGAGCUGCUCCGCUUGCGGACGCGGCUCGGCUAGUUGAAAUAUAGAGGAUCACGCACGGGCCUGUAUGGCACCGGCUAGGUAGGUAGUUUGUCUACUCCUGCCGAAGCCUUGGGCGCGCUGUGUUUCCCAACGGGACUUGUCCCACUCUUUCUUCUCAACCUGAGCUCAGGCAAGG
rnacentral:rRNA from 1 species